rnacentral:lncRNA from 1 species
UUUUAUUAAUGUUUUAGACUUCUUCUUGUGUAACCUAUACAGUUUGAAUCUUGUGGAGAUAUUACUUGUCGUUUUAGCGUAUUUGAUCUCUGGAAUUUGAAAAAUAUACAUAGAUAUUCUGAUGAAAAUGUAGUUUAAAUGUAGUUCGACUCACCAAGGAAGCAAACAGGGUGGAUUCUCUUUAAUUUGUUGUUAAAAUAUGAUCCAAUAGAUGUGGCUUUACAGGGCAAUGAGUUGAAUGAUUUGUGAAAUAUUUCAAUUUUCAAGAACUCUCAACUUCCUAUUUCCGUGGCAA